rnacentral:rRNA from 1 species
GAUGAACGCUGGCGGCGUGCUUAACACAUGCAAGUUGAACGAAGCACUUUAUUUGAUUUCUUCGGAAUGAAGAUUUUGUGACUGAGUGGCGGACGGGUGAGUAACGCGUGGGUAACCUGCCUCAUACAGGGGGAUAACAGUUGGAAACGACUGCUAAUACCGCAUAAGCGCACAGGGUCGCAUGACCUGGUGUGAAAAACUCCGGUGGUAUGAGAUGGACCCGCGUCUGAUUAGCCAGUUGGUGGGGUAACGGCCUACCAAAGCGACGAUCAGUAGCCGACCUGAGAGGGUGACCGGCCACAUUGGGACUGAGACACGGCCCAAACUCCUACGGGAGGCAGCAGUGGGGAAUAUUGCACAAUGGGGGAAACCCUGAUGCAGCGACGCCGCGUGAGCGAAGAAGUAUUUCGGUAUGUAAAGCUCUAUCAGCAGGGAAGAAGAAAUGACGGUACCUGGCUAAGAAGCAC